rnacentral:rRNA from 1 species
UACGAAGGGGGCGAGCGUUGUUCGGAGUUACUGGGCGUAAAGGGCGCGUAGGCGGCGAUCCAAGUUAGGCGUGAAAGCCCCGGGCUCAACCUGGGAAUAGCGCUUAAGACUGGGUUGCUCGAGUGCGGGAGAGGUGAGUGGAAUUCCCAGUGUAGAGGUGAAAUUCGUAGAUAUUGGGAAGAACACCAGUGGCGAAGGCGGCUCACUGGCCAGCAACUGACGCUGAGGCGCGAAAGCGUGGGGAGCAAACAGG